UGGCCUUGACAUCCAGAGAACUUUCCAGAGAUGGAUUGGUGCCUUCGGGAACUCUGAGACAGGUGCUGCAUGGCCGUCGUCAGCUCGUGUCGUGAGAUGUUGGGUUAAGUCCCGUAACGAGCGCAACCCCUAUCCUUGGUUGCUAGCAGGUAAUGCUGAGAACUCCAGGGAGACUGCCGGUGACAAACCGGAGGAAGGUGGGGAUGACGUCAGGUCAUCAUGGCCCUUACGGCCAGGGCUACACACGUGCUACAAUGGCGCGUACAGAGGGCUGCCAACUCGCGAGAGUGAGCCAAUCCCUUAAAACGCGUCGUAGUCCGGAUCGGAGUCUGCAACUCGACUCCGUGAAGUCGGAAUCGCUAGUAAUCGCGAAUCAGAAUGUCGCGGUGAAUACGUUCCCGGGCCU
rnacentral:rRNA from 1 species